CGGCGCGCAUAACGGUUCGAGGAAAACAAGAUAUCGCGCGCUCUCGGUAAUUCCCCUGCGCUCGGUCUACUUUGUGCGUUGACAAGAAAAAAAAAAAAAAAAAACUCCCGUACACAUCGCACGCGUAAUGGGCACGUGACCAUCGCCUCCUACUUUCGUAUUUUUUUUGAACGACGUUUCGAAAAACGUACACUUGUGCAAAUUAAUUCGAAGCAGAACGAUCUCGUUGGAUUCGACGAUCGGGAGGUAGGAAUUCUAAGAGUGCAGAUAUAAAUGACGACGAGUCGAACCUCAUUG